rnacentral:rRNA from 1 species
GUGCCAGCAGCCGCGGUAAGACGUAGGGUGCAAGCGUUGUCCGGAUUUAUUGGGCGUAAAGAGCUCGUAGGCGGCUCGUCGCGUCGACUGUGAAAACUCGGGGCUUAACCCCGGGCUUGCAGUCGAUACGGGCGGGCUAGAGUUCGGUAGGGGAGACUGGAAUUCCUGGUGUAGCGGUGAAAUGCGCAGAUAUCAGGAGGAACACCGGUGGCGAAGGCGGGUCUCUGGGCCGAUACUGACGCUGAGGAGCGAAAGCGUGGGGAGCGAACAGGAUUAGAAACCCUGGUAGUCC